ensembl:lncRNA
GCAUCAGACAUCAAGCAAAAUUUAUCCAGAUUUCACUUGUAUUUCCAUCUCACAUCUGAUCCAGGAAGUUUCCUUGCAUUCUUGGGCAAAGUAUGGCUGAAGUCCUGAAUAAGAUCAAUUGGCUCAAGGGACCUUACUGGCAACAAAAUUAAAAAGGGAUUUCCUUCCCUGAUUUUGAGGACCACAGAAAGGAUGAGCCUAGAAACAGAAAUUACAAGCUACAAAUCUUAGGGCCAGCCUCAAGAGAACGUCAGGUACAUUAACACAGCUUGCUAGAGAUGAAAAUCCAGCUUGAUUGCAUCCAAAUAGGGACUCAAAAUCUUGCUGACAGACCAUACCUUUAGAAGCCCCAAGUACCAGCAGCAGUGCUCUGACAACUCAGUGCACCAGUUGGAGCUGUGCAGCUCCUCUCCUUGCAAUGUAUGUCCAGAUCCUGCAGGUCGUUCUGUAUGCUCCUCAUUCUGUCAUAGGAGUAAUUAUUUCGUGUUGGUUUCUGCUGCCAUCCAUGGUAUAUAUGGUUUUCCUUUUCCUUAUGGAAAAAGAAUUCCUUCUGAGGAACUUCUAAUGUAUGCAAAAUUUCAGAUGCAUAGCACUGUGAAUAGUGCCAGUCUGCUCAUCUUACUCCUGCUAACAUUAGUAAAUCUAUUCAUGCAGGUAAACAAGACUCAUUUUAAGUGGGUCAAAUAUUUUUUGUCGAAAAGAAAAUGAAGAUAUUCAGAGGCUUCUCAGAUUGACAUGAGGUCUCAAGCGAUCAGUCCCUCCCUCGCUGCUCGCAGGUCACACAGGAGGGCAGUGGGGGAUACUGAUGAGUGCAGUGUUCCUUCAAGGCUCAGUUGGAAAACUUCCUCUCUGAAAACUGAGGGAACUCAUGCUUGACGAAAUGCCCUAGCAGCCAGGGAAGCUCAGCCAAACUGCUGCAUCUGCUGUCUGGAGAACACAAGAAGAACACGUGUGUGUUUGGCAAGCUGAAAGGCUUUUAAUAAUUAUGAAUCAUUCCUCCAGCUGCAUAUCAGUGUUUCUUUCCACUGGACAGGAACAGCGAUAGCUCUGAACUAUGCAGCAAUGAGAAAGGUACAAAGAUUCGAGUACCAAACGGACAGUGCUGCCUGAAGGUCCUAUUUAUACAGACAGUUCUACUACACAGAGGCUGCUGGAACUCUAGUACUUCUAUAGCACAGUGGGAACAAGGGGUCCCAUCAUCUGUCACUGUGCUCAUUUUCCUUUCGUCCCGUGCCUGCCCUGCGCACAGCCAUUCCUCCCCUAUGCAGCUCAGACCAAAAUGAAAUCUUGACUGCUUCUUUCCUCCUACUGCAAUGGCUCGGUGCUCCUGCUGGACAGCUACAGAUUGCUAACUGUUCCUGGCACCGGAUGCCUCCGCAUGGACGUGAAGCCAAGAAGCCAAGAGAGAAACCGUAUUGCCAAGUCCAAGCACUCUGAAAUUGCAGUAACCUUUUCCCUACACAAAAAGUGGGUUAUUAUUUGUAUUUAUCCUUUGUUGCUUCGUGUUUUCAGCAAACAUAUUUCAAACUCUUCUCUAUGGUCAUGAUUUUAUUCUCGAUGGAAGUUGAAAUUCUUGCAUACCCAUACAAUUCCUGCACCUGAUGCUUUAAGAAAAAACACCGAUGACUGCAGGAGUUGGCAGCAGAGAGGGAAGAGGAAGAGGAGACGGAGGAGGAAAUAAUCUCAUUCUCUCACCUGCAGGAGCGGAAUCUGAUCCCCUGCUGAUGUCUGGUGAUAGUGCAUCGGAGAGGGAAAGGAAAUGGGAGAACCAGAGGAGAGAAGAGGUAGCCCAUAGGAAGACAUAAAGAGAAGGAAAUACUUUGGGUUAGUGGAGAAGGUCAUCAGGCUACACAGCCUUCAGACAUCUGCCCAAAUCAGUUUGAAACUCCCGACCACACGGUUACCUCACCGCUGAGUGUUUUUUGCGUUCCAAAAUGAGAGGUGGGGAAGGGUGUCCUUCCUGCUCCUGUUUAUCUGAGUCACAGGGAUAAAGCCUAAUUUUGUCUAUAUCCAACUGUCAGCAGUGCGGGAAACAACACAUGUGAAGGCAGAAAAGGAAACGUGGUGUAAGCAAUUGGAAGUGAGGGCUGUACCUGCCUUUUGUGCUCUGCUGCCUUUUCAUCUUACAGAACACAACGUGAGCUGUUACUCUAGUAAUCCAUGAAGUACAUUGUGCAUGCGGAGCCACGCAAGGAUACUAAUUGAAGGAUUAAAACCGAGUGUAGACAAAUGUUAAUGAAGUGAAGGAACUUACUGGACUUUUUACGUUCUGCCUGUGUGUACAAAGCAGCGUUAGCUCUGUGCAGUGCAAUGCUAAGACUAUCUACGCAUUUGAGCUGUGACAUCAGUUUUCUAUUUCUGCGUUAUUAUCACCAGUGAAAGUGGAAACACUGCAUAAAGUGUGGGUCCUCAUUCUGUCUGCAGUUCACUCUUGAACAGUGUGCCACUUCUUUUUGUUUUUUCAGUAGACUGGAGAGGAUGAAGUUUAUGUUUCUGUUUUCAAGUGUUGCUUCCUCCACGAGCAGGAAAUCCUCCCUCCCUCCAUAUGUUUUUAAAAUAGCUGACAGUGCCCCCAAUUAAUUGCGUAUCAAACUGAACUUCUUUUUCCUGGCCUACGUGACUGUCCUCCCCUCCUCAACAGCCAGCCUGUUUUCAUGCGCACGGUAGGAAUAUUAAAAACAUCCCCUACCUAGCAAAACAAGAACUCCUCUGGGAAGGUGCAUGUAGAUGAAAUG